GAUGAAGAACGUAGCGAAAUGCGAUAAGUAGUGUGAAUUGCAGAAUUCAGUGAAUCAUCGAAUCUUUGAACGCACAUUGCGCCCCCUGGUAUUCCGGGGGGCAUGCCUGUCCGAGCGUCAUUACAACCCUCAAGCUCAGCUUGGUAUUGGGCCCCGCCGCUCCGGCGGGCCCUAAAGUCAGUGGCGGUGCCGUCCGGCUCCGAGCGUAGUAAUUCUUCUCGCUCUGGAGGCCCGGUCGUGUGCUCGCCAGCAACCCCCAAUUUUUUUCAGGUUGACCUCGGAUCAGGUAGGGAUACCCGCUGAACUUAAGCAUAUCAAUAAGCGGAGGA
rnacentral:misc_RNA from 1 species